rnacentral:rRNA from 1 species
ACUCCUACGGGAGGCAGCAGUGGGGAAUAUUGGACAAUGGGCGCAAGCCUGAUCCAGCCAUGCCGCGUGAGUGAUGAAGGCCCUAGGGUUGUAAAGCUCUUUCACCGGUGAAGAUAAUGACGGUAACCGGAGAAGAAGCCCCGGCUAACUUCGUGCCAGCAGCCGCGGUAAUACGAAGGGGGCUAGCGUUGUUCGGAUUUACUGGGCGUAAAGCGCACGUAGGCGGACUAUUAAGUCAGGGGUGAAAUCCCGGGGCUCAACCCCGGAACUGCCUUUGAUACUGGUAGUCUUGAGUUCGAGAGAGGUGAGUGGAAUUCCGAGUGUAGAGGUGAAAUUCGUAGAUAUUCGGAGGAACACCAGUGGCGAAGGCGGCUCACUGGCUCGAUACUAACGCUGAGGUGCGAAAGCGUGGGGAGCAAACAGGAUUAGAUACCCCUGUAGUCCC